UAUAAUUAUAUAAAUCUAUUUCAGAUACAUCCAAAUAUCUGAAAUACUUUGGUUCGGAUCGAAUAAGGUUUCGGUUCUCUAAAUACCAAAAUUCUGAAUAAUUCAGAUAUUUAAUUAAUUUUGAUUCGAGUUGAGUACUACUUUUUUGGAUCGAAAUCGGUUCGGUUCUUCGGAUUCGAGUUGUUUGCCCAAUCCUAAAUAGUGAUAUAAAAACAAAUAGCAACAUAUUUUUGAAAAAUAUAUUUGCGCGGACGUGCGGGUCAAAAUCUAGUAAGCUAUUAAAAUUGAUAAUUUUUAUAUAUAUUUCCAAUUGACUAUUUUGAUAGAGGAUUAAGUUUGUACAAGGAUCUAUUGGUGAACCACAACAAUUAAGAUCAAAUCUGAGAAAGCCUAGCUAAUAUGUGUAACAUAUUUUUUUAGCUUUAGAACUCAGAAGUGUUUUAUUUUAUUUGUGUGUGUUUGUGUCAGUGCUGGAUAUGAGAUUUGGAAGGGUGGUUUGAAACAUUUCUUAAAAUUUUAGUUAAAAAAAUAUUUUUUUCAUAAUUUGGAAACCGGUACUUAUGUAAAAACUUCUAAAACCAAGACCAAUGUUUUAUUGGACUGUGUCUAGAUCCGGUCCCGGUUCUUGUGGGGGUUAAAUUUAACCUCUUAAAUUAUACGAAACUGAUUUGUAGCCAAACACAUCUUCACGUAAGAUCAUGCAUGUACUUCUCAAUGUGUUGGUGCAUGUCCCAGAGAUUCAGAUAUAUAUGAAAUGAUCCGAUCUUUUUUGUGGUUCAGUAGUCAAUAGAUUAUCAAUAAAGGACGAUCGCUUACCAAUCAAAUCAUUGAUUUUUGGGUGACAGUCAUCAUAUUCAUAUAUAUGAUUCCAGAAGGUUCUAUAAAUUAAGGACUAAUGUGAAAGCAGACACACAUAUAAACCUUAAUUCCUAACUAGUUUUUAUAACUUAACUAGGUUGCUAUUAACCAAUCGGUAGUAGACUAUUCCAUUUAUUAUUUUGUGUUAGUUUUAUAUAAAUUUCUUUGUUAAUCUAAAAAUUAAAUACUAUAAGAUUUUUCCAGCUAUAGUUUCAAAAUAAUUGCAUGUAGUCGUAUUACGUUGGCACAUGUCGGAGAGAAUGUAUCCCAAUGAGCAGCUACAUAAACGGAUAGGUUCAGAUUUAAAACGGACGGUUGGGCCACCAGCCUUAUAAAAUAUAAGUGGAUUCUCAUAUUACUAAAAGCCCAUGCAUUAGCGAUACGUCCACCCAAAAAGGCGGGUAAUUCCUUUGUGCGAAUCCACUUAAAAGUCGUGUAUCAUUUUCUUCGUGCGUAUGGGGUCCUAUACACUUUACAAUGUUUAUAGAGAUUCGGACACAUAGUUAUGAGUUAUCCCAUUUUAGGUAUUUCAAUUGUCAAUAGAUUAUCAUCUAGAAACGAUCUUACACCUUCCCAAUCCAUCAUUCUUGAAGAUUAAUCGUCAUAUAUAUAGCGGAUUCUAAAAGGUUCUAUGAUCAAAUGCAAAUGUGAAAACAUAUCUUUGUGUUCGUUCAUGUGAAUUACAUGUAUAGUUUUCUUCACAAGUUCUUCUGUAAAUACAAUUUUCUAAUUAUACUUUACUGUUUACAGUAGCUUACACUGUAGCUCUUAUAUACAAGAGUUUCUUUAGCCAUAUAACAAACAAACAUUAUAUAAUAUUCUGAGACAUUGAAAUUUAUAAGAAUCCAAUCAGGAUAAUGCGUCCAUUUCAAUCAAACAUUAUAUAUAUACAAGAUUUUCUUUUAUUUCUCUUAAAAGAAUGAGGGUGAGUUGGAGAAGAAGACAAAGCAUAGGAAAGCUAGUCCAUUAAGUGAAUGGAUUUGAAUAGAUAGAGCAACAUGGAUCUUCUCUACUUUGAAUAAUUGAAAUAGCAUUGUUUUUUUUUUUCAGAUCAAUUGAAAUAGCAUUCUCUUUGCUUUUUUUCCAUUUUUAAUUUUAUUUUAUCUGAUUUUUGCCUUUAGUUUUGUUCUUUUCAGUUUCUGUUAUGGAGAAACUUCUCUUGAGCAGCGUCACGUUCUCUUUAAUUUAUAGAGUUUAUGCAUAUUAAGCUGGGUUUUUUUUGAACAACCAAAGAUUAAUAUUAGACAGAGGAAGCCUUAAAUCCCCAAGUUUGAUAGGAGGGUAGACAAACGGACCUUGGCCAGAGUAUCAGCAGCCCCACUACCGAUUGUCUUCUCGAGUUGGUUGCUUGGAUAAGCACUUGGAGUCUGAACGGAUCCAGAUAUUGGUGUAGUGGAGGGAGGUUGCAUGUAAGAGAGCACCUCGUAUAGCUAGGGCUUCUGCCAUCAGUGCGGAGGAGACAGAGUCUUGUGUCGCCGAGUUCCGAUUGAUCUCCUGGGUCGCUAGAUCAGUGAAGAUCCACGCAAGUCCGGCGUUCUUUGUGUCUGAUUUCCACGCAGCGUCGGUGUAGCAGAGGACAGUCGAGUCGGGGCAGUCGCAAAUCAGAGGAGGGCGACAUAGAGAUGUACUUGGCGGUGGUUUCUUCUGCUGAGCUGCUUCCCAUUCCUUGAUAGCUGUGAUUGUCUUAGCGAUGAUCUCCUGUGGUGUGAAGGAUCUGUCUUAGCAAAUUAAGCUGAUAUGAUAUUGUAAAAUGUACAAAAACAUGUAUUAUGUUUUUAAGUAACCUGUAUGAUGGACCUGAUUUGAAUUGAUGUGAAAGUUACUUUUCUUAGAUAUCUGCUCAAUGUUUUAAAAGAUCAGAUGGUGAAAAGAUUGAAAUUAAAAUAUUGGAUCUAUCCAAGAUUGUUAAUUUGCUAACGAUAAUCACAUGUAAAAGCUGAUCCCAUUUGUUCUGUUUAGCAAAGAGCCUAAAUAAACAUCAUGUUACAUGUGACAUCGGUGUAUAGUGUUUAUUUCUUAGAUAUUAAUCCAAGCCGCAUAGGAUGCCGCAUAAGAUGCCGCAUAGAUAAGUUGAGCUUUCUCAGGUCGACACGUGUCCCGCUUCCACAAAACGCAUCACUUCAUUUAUUCUGUAAUCUGAUGGGCUUAUAGUUGUAUGCAGCCCGAUGGCCAUUGUCGUUAGCCCUAAUUCUAAUGACGCGUCUCUCCUCUUUGUUCUACGGAGGCGCGGGCGCCUGAACUUCUUCCUUUAGAGCAUCAUUAACGGGGGUUCUUACGACGGGGCUCUUAGCGGAAUAUAAGAAUCUGACUCUUAAUUUUUAACUGAAAAUGCUAAGAGUCGGCUCUUAAAUAAGAGAUUUAAGAGCCGACUCUUAACUUUUUCAGUUAAAAGUUAAGAGUCGGGAUCUUAUAUUCUGCUAAGAACCAUGCACUAAGAACCCUGUGUUAAUGAUGGUCUUAGAACACCGUCAACAUCACCUUAGAUGUGAAAAGAACAUCGGGGAAAGCGACCAGCACUAACCUUCUUAACUCACCGUCAAAUCUACGAACCGCGACGGAGCACUGAGCGACUUCACUCCGCAAAAUCCCGAAACCGAAAAUCCUACACACCUUCCCCACUGUCCUCAAACGGGAUCCUCACCUGGAAGGAGCAACGCUGGCUCCCGCUUCUGUGUGGUGACCCGCUCCCCGUAGCUCGCCGGAUCCACCGCUUCUCAUCACGAUCUUAAAGAGAAAGCGAGCAUCCAUCUAGACCUGCACCUCACUAACAGGUCAUGUUGCUUAAUCCAACGAAGUAAACAAGAAAUCGAAGAACCUUCUCUCACAAUUCAAAAUCCAGUUCAAAUAUGAACGGAUUUGGAGCAUCUCUCUCAUAGAGAAUUCAUGGUAAUGUGAAUUUGUUGCACGAGAUCUUUAGGAGACUUUCAGCUAAAGCGAAUAUAAACUCAUAAGUUCUCUUUUACUUGACAUGUUGCAUGAAUUAGCCUCUUCAGUUAGUUCAAAGUGAUUCUCUUCAGAGUGAUAAUAAGUACAUCCCUCAUUCAUCAUAUAAUAUUUUUUUUGGUUGGCCCUGCAAUUUAUAGUAUCUCUUUUCUCAGCUUUCUUGAAUGCUUAAACCUCAAAGCAAAUCUCAAUAUAUACACUAUAACCAAGAGAAGUCGCAAAUCAAUGCAAGGAGUGACAAGACAGUGAGCAUCAGUGAAAUCAAACUAAAUAGUCAGUUUUAGAUUGUUGGAAGGGUAAGUGUUCUCUUAUGUUUAAUAAAGUGACACCUGAAUCUAGAGAUCAAUGAACAUUGAUGAAUAUGAUUCUUGCAAUUCUCUAUUCUAUUAUAUUUUCUCUUAUUUA